GCAACCUGCCUGUAAGACUGGGAUAACUUCGGGAAACCGGAGCUAAUACCGGAUAAUAUAUAGUACCUCCUGGUACUAUAUUGAAAGUUGGUUUCGGCUAUCACUUACAGAUGGGCCCGCGGCGCAUUAGCUAGUUGGUGAGGUAACGGCUCACCAAGGCAACGAUGCGUAGCCGACCUGAGAGGGUGAUCGGCCACACUGGGACUGAGACACGGCCCAGACUCCUACGGGAGGCAGCAGUAGGGAAUCUUCCACAAUGGACGAAAGUCUGAUGGAGCAACGCCGCGUGAGCGAUGAAGGCCUUCGGGUCGUAAAGCUCUGUUGUUAGGGAAGAACAAGUGCGAGAGUAACUGCUCGCACCUUGACGGUACCUAACCAGAAAGCCACGGCUAACUACGUGCCAGCAGCCGCGGUAAUACGUAGGUGGCAAGCGUUGUCCGGAAUUAUUGGGCGUAAAGCGCGCGCAGGCGGUUUCUUAAGUCUGAUGUGAAAGCCCACGGCUCAACCGUGGAGGGUCAUUGGAAACUGGGAGACUUGAGUGCAGAAGAGGAGAGUGGAAUUCCACGUGUAGCGGUGAAAUGCGUAGAGAUGUGGAGGAAC
rnacentral:rRNA from 1 species